rnacentral:rRNA from 1 species
GACGAACGCUGGCGGCGUGCUUAACACAUGCCAGUCGAACGGAAAGGCCCUGCUUUUGUGGGGUGCUCGAGUGGCAAACGGGUGAGUAACACGUGAGUAACCUGCCCUUGACUUUGGGAUAACUUCAGGAAACUGGGGCUAAUACCGGAUAGGAGCUCCUGCUGCAUGGUGGGGGUUGGAAAGUUUCGGCGGUUGGGGAUGGACUCGCGGCUUAUUAGCUUGUUGGUGGGGUAGUGGCUUACCAAGGCUUUGACGGGUAGCCGGCCUGAGAGGGUGACCGGCCACAUUGGGACUGAGAUACGGCCCAGACUCCUACGGGAGGCAGCAGUGGGGAAUAUUGCACAAUGGGCGGAAGCCUGAUGCAGCAACGCCGCGUGCGGGAUGACGGCCUUCGGGUUGUAAACCGCUUUCGCCUGUGACGAAGCGUGAGUGACGGUAAUGGGUAAAGAAGCACCGGCUAACUACGUG